CCUCGUCUCAAACAUAAAUUGUCUCUCUUGUAAUUGAUAGAGGUUAUUUGUUGAUGUUCAUCAAUUUUUUACUGAUAAUUUUUAUUGAUCUACGUCUCAGUUCUUACUAAAACGAAAACAAAUGGAUUUUCAUUUUACCAGCUUUUGGUGUUCUGUUCAGGUGUAAAAUCAGGUGAAGUUUACUUCAUUGAGCUUUAAGGGACUCAAGUUUU